rnacentral:rRNA from 1 species
AUGCUUCCAAUUAUCUACAGUACUAUAAACCAUUCCUUCCAUAAAACCCUACCCACCUACCGUAAAGCCAGCCGCUCCCCGCCGCUCCCUCGGCUCAGCGCCUCGUACCCUCCUCCCAUCUCCCCGAUCAGCAACCAUGGCUGCUCCUCCUGCCGACCGCUCGUCCGAUUUCGACGUGAUCGUGGUGGGCGCGGGCCUCAUGGGCAGCUGCGCGGCGCACGCGGCGCGCGCGUGCUCCUGCUCGAGCGCUUCGACCUCCUCCACCACCGCGGCUCGUCGCACGGCGAGUCCCGCGCCAUCCGCGACACCUACCCGCAGCCGCACUACCCGCCCAUGGUCCGCCUCGCGCGCCGCCUCUGGGACGACGCCCAGCGGGACGCCGGGUACGCCGUGCUCACGCCCACCCCGCACCUCGACCUGGGGCCCCGGGACGAUCCCAACUUCCGGGCCGUCGUCGCCAGCGGCGCCACCGAGCUCGCCCCGACGGGGACCGCGCCGCGGCCGGCGUGGGCGGAGGCGUUCAGGGUGCCGGAGGGGUGGGCGGCGGCGAGCAGCGAGCUGGGCGGGGUGAUCAAGGCGACCAAGGCCGUGGCCAUGUUCCAGGCGCUCGCCGCCAAGAUGGGCGCCGUCGUGAGGGACAGGACGGAGGUGAUCGACGUCGCAAAGCAAGGAGAAGGAACGAAGAUCGUGGUGAAGACAUCAAGCGGCGAGAAGUUCCAUGGCGCCAAGUGCAUCAUCACGGUGGGCGCAUGGACGAGCAAGCUGGUAAAGUCCGUCACCGGCUUCGACCUGCCCGUGCAGCCGCUCCACACACUCCUCUGCUACUGGAAGCUGAAGCCCGGGCACAAGCGCGAGCUCACGACGGAGGCCGGCUUCCCAACAUUCUCGAGCUACGGUGACCCGUGCAUCUACAGCACGCCGUCGAUGGAGUACCCGGGCCUGAUCAAGAUCGCCAUGCACGGGGGGCCGCCGUGUGACCCGGACAGCAGGGACUGGACCAUCGGCACCGGCGAGGGCGUGGGUGGGCUGGCGGAUCCCGUAGCACGGUGGAUCGACGAGGUGAUGCCGGGCCACGUCGACACUGCCGGCGGGCCGGUGCUCCGGCAGGCGUGCAUGUACUCCAUGACGCCCGACGAGGACUUCGUGAUCGACUUCCUGGGCGGGGAGGAGUUUGGGAGGGACGUGGUGGUUGGCGCCGGUUUCUCCGGUCACGGGUUCAAGAUGGGCCCCGCCAUCGGGAGGAUCCUCGCUGAGUUGGCGUUGGACGGUGAGUCGACUACGGCGGCGGAGGCCGGCGUGGAGCUCACACACUUCAGGAUCGAACGGUUCGACGGCGACCCGAUGGGAAACGCUACAAGUUCAUAG